rnacentral:rRNA from 1 species
GACGAACGCUGGCGGCGUGCUUAACACAUGCAAGUCGAACGGAAAGGCCCUGCUUUUGUGGGGUGCUCGAGUGGCGAACGGGUGAGUAACACGUGAGUAACCUGCCCUUGACUUUGGGAUAACUUCAGGAAACUGGGGCUAAUACCGGAUAGGAGCUCCUGCUGCAUGGUGGGGGUUGGAAAGUUUCGGCGGUUGGGGAUGGACUCGCGGCUUAUCAGCUUGUUGGUGGGGUAGUGGCUUACCAAGGCUUUGACGGGUAGCCGGCCUGAGAGGGUGACCGGCCACAUUGGGACUGAGAUACGGCCCAGACUCCUACGGGAGGCAGCAGUGGGGAAUAUUGCACAAUGGGCGGAAGCCUGAUGCAGCAACGCCGCGUGCGGGAUGACGGCCUUCGGGUUGUAAACCGCUUUCGCCUGGGACGAAGCGUGAGUGACGGUAAUGGGUAAAGAGGCACCGGCUAACUACG